UGGGGAAUCUUGCGCAAUGGGGGAAACCCUGACGCAGCGACGCCGCGUGCGGGAUGAAGGCCUUCGGGUUGUAAACCGCUUUCAGCAGGGACGAGGCCUUAUGGUGACGGUACCUGCAGAAGAAGCUCCGGCUAAAUACGUGCCAGCAGCCGCGGUAAUACGUAUGGAGCAAGCGUUAUCCGGAUUCAUUGGGCGUAAAGCGCUCGUAGGCGGUCUGUUAGGUCGGCAAGUUAAAUCCGGGGGCUCAACCCCCGUCCGCUUCCGAUACCGGCAGACUUGAGUUUGGUAGGGGAAGGUGGAAGUCCUCGUGUAGCGGUAGAAUGCGCAGAUAUUAGGAAGAACACCGGUGGCGAAGGCGGCCUUCUGGGCCAUAACUGACGCUGAGGAGCGACAGCUAGGGGAGCGAACAGG
rnacentral:rRNA from 1 species